ensembl:lncRNA
CACUAUGUUACUGUUCCCACUAUGUUACUGUUCCCACCAGGUUACUGUUCCCACUAUGUUACUGUUCCCACCAGGUUACUGUUCCCACUAUGUUACUGUUCCCACCAGGUUACUGUUCCCACUAUGUUACUGUUCCCACUAUGUUACUGUUCCCACUGUGUUACUGUUCCCACUAUGUUACUUUUCCCACCAGGUUACUGUUCCCACUAUGUUACUGUUCCCACCAGGUUACUGUUCCCACUAUGUUACUGUUCUCACCAGAUUACUGUUCCCACUAUGUUACUGUUCCCACCAGGUUACUGUUCCCACUAUGUUACUGUUCUCACCAGAUUACUGUUCCCACUAGGUUACUGUUCCCACUAUGUUACUGUUCCCACCAUGUUACUGUUCCCACCAGGUUACUGUUCCCACCAGGUUACUGUUCCCACCAGGUUACUGUUCCCACCAGGUUACUGUUCCCACUAUGGUACUGUUCCCACCAGGUUACUGUUCC